GUUUGUGAAAGUGAAAGUUCAGCUCCGAGUGGGAUUCGGCCUGGAAAUGAGUUGAUGAAAUUACACACAGCUUCAAUUAUACAUCACAAAGGGCGAAAGAGCCCCACUGGAUGGCAGGGGAAGAAAAUGUGGAGAAACGGGAACUCUCCAGUCUUGUAAUAUGUGCGGCCUGUAAGCACGUGUGUGUGUGUGUGUGUGUUACACCUCUCCUCUGUUUUGACUUUGAAGUUGUGACUUUGUCAGGAGCAGAAGCCGAGAGCAGGAGGUGGGAAAACGGAGACUUUACCACCUGAGGGUUGAAUGCACACACGGGGGUUGGCUUUUAGCAUAUUCCUGUCUAAAUGAAAAUUUGUGAAGCAAAACAGUUUGGAAAAUAUUCUCACCUGUAUAGUCUCAGCAAUGCCCUUGAGCGCAUGUAUGUGUGAGUGUGCAUUUGCUCUCACAUACAUUAAUGAAAAAUAAGUUGCUUUUCCUCAUGUGUUGUUAACGUUUCAUGUCUUGUAUGUGUGUGUUGUGCUUCUCCUCACAUAGUCCAUGUCAAAUAUUUUAUGUCUUCCUCUGAUGUCUUUUUACUGUGGUGUAUGCAGUGUUAGAGUAAUCUUAAGAGGUACUACAAUGAUUUAAUACUGCACGGCCAUAAAAUUGCAGUACUUAAAAGAGAUAAACAUAAAACAUUGUCAAAAUCAAAGCAGCUGGGGUAUCCUCGUGACCUGGCUCAAUCACUCGAUCAUUUCCUGUUGCUAUUAUGCAGACCUCUUCCUUCCCUGUCCUUUCUCAGAAAAAAAAAUGUAGAACUGAUUUUUAAAAAUGUUCAAAAUCCUAAAUUGUUUACAUCCAUUUUUCUUCUUUCUCUCUGUUGGCAUAUUCCUGUCACUGCCACCAACAAACGAUCAGCUAAAUCGCAUUAAAUCAACAGCAGUGUGUGAAUAUCUUUGCUAGCAUAAAACAUCCUACAUUUCCCAUAAUGCAACAUUUUCGUUAACUUCUUUGACUGCAUCUUUCAAGCUUCACACCCUCUUUACUAUUUGGGAAUACACUUUUUCAUGUAUAACUCUUAUGUCUGUAGAGUACUGAGCUAAAGCUAGGAGGUGAUUAGCUUAGCUUAACUUAGCAUAAAGACUGGUAGCAGGGGGAAACAGCUAGCCUAGCUCUCUCCAAAGUUCUGCCUACCAACACCUCUAAAGCUCACCUUUUAUCGAAUAUGCACACAGAGAAAUUUACAGUUGACAGUUAUAUAAAACUACAACUUAUAAUUUUUACAUAUCAGCUUGCAUAUAGAUUGAAUAAAGAAGGCACAACAUGUUGGUCAAAGGCCAUACAGUGAUCCACAACACUGUAUGAGGAGAGAUGACAUGCAGCAGAGUCAUCGCCACAGUUCAUCUUCCUGUCCUGCACCUGCUCUGCCAUGUGUGCUAUGCGAUCUCUUCAGCCAUUUUUCAUGAAGCCUGUGACUCCCGAGUCUGCCUCUCAGGACCAUUUGAGGGGCACAGAGCUGCAUGUUGAGGUGACACCCUCCUUAGUCACUCUGGCAAUUUGUCACCUGUCCUCAAGGCUUC